rnacentral:rRNA from 1 species
CAGAACGAACGCUGGCGGCGCGUUUUAAGCAUGCAAGUCGAACGGUAACCAUCCUUCGGGAUGGCUAGAGUGGCGAACGGGUGAGUAACACGUAGGUGAUCUGCCCUUGAGUUGGGGAUAGCCCAUGGAAACAUGGGGUAAUACCGAAUACGCUCGCGACCCUGUGGGGAUGCGAGGAAAAGCGCUUCGGCGCUGCUCGAGGAUGAGCCUGCGGCUGAUUAGUUAGUUGGUGGGGUAACGGCCUACCAAGGCGACGAUCAGUAGCCGGCCUGAGAGGGUGAGCGGCCACACUGGGACUGAGAUACGGCCCAGACUCCUACGGGAGGCAGCAGCUAAGAAUCUUCUACAAUGGACGAAAGUCUGAUAGAGCGACGCCGCGUGGGUGAUGAAGGCCGGAAGGUUGUAAAGCCCUUUUCUAUUCGAGGAAUAAGGUGUGGAGGCAAUGCCACACUGAUGACGGUAGGGUAGGAAUAAGCCCCGGCCAAUUACGUGCCAGCAGCCGCGGUAACACGUAUGGGGCGAGCGUUGUUCGGAAUCAUUGGGCGUAAAGGGCGCGUAGGCGGAUAUGCAAGCUUGGUGUGAAAGACCGCAGCUCAACUGCGGGAGCGCGCUGAGAACUGCAUAUCUUGAGUUCAAGAGGGGAAGCUGGAAUUCCAGGUGUAGGGGUGAAAUCUGUAGAUAUCUGGAAGAACAUCAGUGGCGAAGGCGAGCUUCUGGCUUUGAACUGACGCUGAGGCGCGAAAGCGUGGGGAGCGAACAGGAUUAGAUACCCUGGUAGUCCACGCUGUAAACGAUGUGCACUAGGUGUUGGGCCGUUGAAGGCUCAGUGCCGUAGCUAACGCGUUAAGUGCACCGCCUGGGGAGUAUGCUCGCAAGAGUGAAACUCAAAGGAAUUGACGNNGG